rnacentral:rRNA from 1 species
AGUUUGAUCCUGGCUCAGAUUGAACGCUGGCGGUAUGCCUUACACAUGCAAGUCGAACGGUAGAGGAGCAAUCCUCGAGAGUGGCGAACGGGUGAGUAAUACAUCGGAACGUGCCCAGUCGUGGGGGAUAACGUAGCGAAAGCUACGCUAAUACCGCAUACGACCCGAGGGUGAAAGCGGGGGACUCGCAAGAGCCUCGCGCGAUUGGAGCGGCCGAUGGCAGAUUAGGUAGUUGGUGGGGUAAAGGCCCACCAAGCCUGCGAUCUGUAGCUGGUCUGAGAGGACGACCAGCCACACUGGGACUGAGACACGGCCCAGACUCCUACGGGAGGCAGCAGUGGGGAAUUUUGGACAAUGGGCGAAAGCCUGAUCCAGCCAUACCGCGUGCGGGAAGAAGGCCUUCGGGUUGUAAACCGCUUUUGUCAGGGAAGAAAUACUUCGGGCUAAUACCCUGGGGUGAUGACGGUACCUGAAGAAUAAGCACCGGCUAACUACGUGCCAGCAGCCGCGGUAAUACGUAGGGUGCAAGCGUUAAUCGGAAUUACUGGGCGUAAAGCGUGCGCAGGCGGUUCUAUAAGACAGAUGUGAAAUCCCCGGGCUCAACCUGGGAACUGCAUUUGUGACUGUAGAGCUAGAGUACGGUAG